rnacentral:snRNA from 1 species
GGAAGCUUAUAAUUGAGUAGUU